rnacentral:rRNA from 1 species
UACGGAGGGUGCAAGCGUUAAUCGGAAUUACUGGGCGUAAAGCGCACGCAGGUGGCUGAGUCAGUCGAUUGUGAAAGCCCUGGGCUUAACCUGGGAAUUGCAGUCGAUACUACUCAGCUAGAGUAUGGGAGAGGGCAGUGGAAUUCCCGGUGUAGCGGUGAAAUGCGUAGAUAUCGGGAGGAACAUCAGUGGCGAAGGCGGCUGCCUGGGCCAAUACUGACACUCAGGUGCGACAGCGUGGGGAGCAAACAGG